rnacentral:ncRNA from 1 species
CGCCCGGACGGAUCCCGUGGGGGGAAUCCGACCCGGGGAACAAGGGAAGCGCCCCGCGCUCCGGA